UGUUACAUGUUGGAUCGUCGUUAAUGUAAUAAGGAGUGCCGCUAAUAUAAAUAGUAAAUAGAUAAUCAAAUACCACUUUUUCAAUAAAAAAGAGUGGUAGAUGCGAAAC
rnacentral:sRNA from 1 species